GACGAACGCUGGCGGCGUGCUUAACACAUGCAAGUCGAACGGAAAGGCCCUGCUUUUGUGGGGUGCUCGAGUGGCGAACGGGUGAGUAACACGUGAGUAACCUGCCCUUGACUUUGGGAUAACUUCAGGAAACUGGGGCUAAUACCGGAUAGGAGCUCCUGCUGCAUGGUGGGGGUUGGAAUGUUUCGGCGGUUGGGGAUGGACUCGCGGCUUAUCAGCUUGUUGGUGGGGUAGUGUCUUACCACGGCGUUGACGGGUAGCCGGCCUGAGAGGGUAGCCGGGGAGAUAGGGAUGUGUGUACUUUCGAGAUUCAUACGGGAGGAGGAAGAGGGGAAUUGUGCACAGUGCACGGAAACACUGUGCCGGAACACCGAAAGAAGGAUUACGGAAUUCGGUUUGUAACCCGCUAUCGCCUGUGACAAAGCGAGAGUGACGGUAUUGGUAUGAGAAGCACCCGCUUAAUACGUG
rnacentral:rRNA from 1 species